rnacentral:rRNA from 1 species
CCCAAUGAUCAGCGAGCCAUAGAAAAUAAAUGGAUCUUUAAGAAGAAGACAGACGCGGAUGGUAAUGUGACCAUCUACAAGGCUCGACUUGUCGCUAAGGGUUAUCGACAAGUUCAAGGGGUUGACUACGACGAGACUUUCUCACCCGUAGCGAAGCUGAAGUCCGUCCGAAUCAUGUUAGCAAUUGCCGCAUUCUCUGAUUAUGAGAUAUGGCAAAUGGACGUCAAAACGGCAUUCCUUAACGGCUUCCUUAAGGAAGAAUUGUAUAUGAUGCAGCCGGAAGGUUUUGUCGAUCCUAAGAAUGCUAACAAAGUAUGCAAGCUCCAGCGCUCAAUCUAUGGGCUGGUGCAAGCAUCUCGGAGUUGGAACAUUCGCUUUGAUGAGAUGAUCAAAGCGUUUGGGUUUACACAGACUUCUGGAGAAGCCUGUGUUUACAAGAAAGUGAGUGGGAGCUCUGUAGCAUUUCUCAUAUUAUAUGUGGAUAACAUACUAUUGAUGGGAAAUGAUAUAGAAUUCUUGGAAAGUAUA